rnacentral:tRNA from 1 species
UCCCUGAUAGCUCAGUUGGUAAAGAAUUUGCCUGCAAUGCAGGAGACCCUGGGUUUGAGUCCUGGGUUGGGAA